UACGUAGGGGGCAAGCGUUGUCCGGAUUUACUGGGCGUAAAGCGCCUGUAGGCGGCCUGCCAAGUCCGGCCUGAAAGCCCCCCGCUCAACGGGGGAGGGUGGCUGGAAACUGGCAGGCUUGAGGGCGAGAGAGGAGGGUGGAAUUCCUGGUGUAGCGGUGAAAUGCGCAGAUAUCGGGAGGAACACCAAUGGCGAAGGCAGCUCGCUGGGACGUUACUGACGCUGAGACGCGAAAGCGUGGGGAGCAAACAGG
rnacentral:rRNA from 1 species